GUACUGGGGACAUCGGGGUUAUCUCACCACUACCAGUAUUGAAGCAAUAACGAACACCCUCCGUUCUUAGGUACUCAAAAAUCUGAAUGAUGGCGAUGUGCGCGAUAAUCCCUGGAGCUCAACUCCCCUGAUACUUCGAGCAGAUAGGAGGCACCAGGACAGGAUUCCGUCACAUCGAAAUCAUAUAGAUCACAAAUACCCGCGUGAUCCUAAAAAAAAAUUGAGCGAGAAAAGGAGUAGAGUUAAAGAUUUCCUAGGACGGGAACCUCACCAGAGCAUAGAAGAGGAGAAAAAAGAAUCAUACUCUCUGAUAUAACUAAGACUCAAA
rnacentral:lncRNA from 1 species